rnacentral:rRNA from 1 species
UGGGGAAUUUUGACAAUGGCGAAGCUGAUCCAGCAAUGCCGCGUGUGUGAAGAAGGGCCUUCGGGUUGUAAAGCACUUUUUGUCCGGAAAGAAAUCCUUGGCUCUAAUACAGUCGGGGGAUGACGGUACCGGAAGAAUAAGCACCGGCUAACUACGUGCCAGCAGCCGCGGUAAUACGUAGGGUGCAAGCGUUAAUCGGAAUUACUGGGCGUAAAGCGUGCGCAGGCGGUUUGCUAAGACCGAUGUGAAAUCCCGGGCUCAACCUGGGGAACUGCAUUGGUGACUGGCAGGCUAGAGUAUGGCAGAGGGGGGUAGAAUUCCACGUGUAGCAGUGAAAAUGCGUAGAGAUGUGGAGGAAUACCGAUGGCGAAGGCAGCCCCCUGGGCAAUACUGACGCUCAUGCACGAAAAGCGUGGGGAGCAAACAGGAUUAGAUACCCUGGUAGUCCACGCCCUAAACGAUGUCAACUAGUUGUUGGGGGAUUCAUUUCCUUAGUAACGUAGCUAACGCGUGAAGUUGACCGCCUGGGGAGUACGGUCGCAAGAUUAAAACUCAAAGGAAUUG